AACGUAGGGGACGAGCGUUAUCCGGAUUUACUGGGCGUAAAGCGCAUGUAGGUGGCUUGAAAAGUUGGACGUGAAAGCUCCUGGCUUAACUGGGAGAGGUCGUACAAAACUAGCAAGCUUGAGGUUGGAAGAGGAGAGCAGAAUUCCCGGUGUAGUGGUGAAAUGCGUAGAUAUCGGGAGGAACACCAGUGGCGAAGGCGACUACCUGGCCUGUUUCUUGACGCUGAGGCGGCGAAAAGCUGA
rnacentral:rRNA from 1 species